rnacentral:rRNA from 1 species
UGGGGAAUAUUGGACAAUGGGCGAAAGCCUGAUCCAGCCAUGCCGCGUGUGUGAAGAAGGUCUUCGGAUUGUAAAGCACUUUAAGUUGGGAGGAAGGGCAUUAACCUAAUACGUUAGUGUUUUGACGUUACCGACAGAAUAAGCACCGGCUAACUCUGGGCCAGCAGCCGCGGUAAUACAGAGGGUGCAAGCGUUAAUCGGAAUUACUGGGCGUAAAGCGCGCGUAGGUGGUUUGUUAAGUUGGAUGUGAAAUCCCCGGGCUCAACCUGGGAACUGCAUUCAAAACUGACUGACUAGAGUAUGGUAGAGGGUGGUGGAAUUUCCUGUGUAGCGGUGAAAUGCGUAGAUAUAGGAAGGAACACCAGUGGCGAAGGCGACCACCUGGACUAAUACUGACACUGAGGUGCGAAAGCGUGGGGAGCAAACA